rnacentral:rRNA from 1 species
AAUGAACGCUGGCGGCAGGCCUAACACAUGCAAGUCGAACGGAUCCUUCGGGAUUAGUGGCGGACGGGUGAGUAACGCGUGGGAACAUACCCUUUGGUACGGAAUAGCCUCGGGAAACUGGGAGUAAUACCGUAUGUGGUCGAGAGACGAAAGAUUUAUCGCCAAAGGAUUGGCCCGCGUUGGAUUAGGUAGUUGGUGGGGUAAUGGCCUACCAAGCCGACGAUCCAUAGCUGGUUUGAGAGGAUGAUCAGCCACACUGGGACUGAGACACGGCCCAGACUCCUACGGGAGGCAGCAGUGGGGAAUCUUAGACAAUUGGGGAAACCCUGAUCUAGCCAUGCCGCGUGAUCGAUGAAGGCCUUAGGGUUGUAAAGAUCUUUCAGGUGGGAAGAUAAUGACUGUACCACCAGAAGAAGCCCCGGCUAACUCCGUGCCAGCCGCCGCCGUAA